UUCUGGACCUGUAGGUUGAAAGAACCCCGGAUCGGGGAGACCCUCACUCAAGUCUCAGGAUGACUCGACCCCCCAAGAACUCACGAGAGACC
rnacentral:pre_miRNA from 14 species